rnacentral:lncRNA from 1 species
ACAGCGGCACCGCUGGGGGCCCCGGGCGCUGCCCCCCGGCUCCCGGUCCCACGCCCCCGCCCUGCCCGGCCCCACUCACGUCAGGACGCGGGGGCACUGCAGCUGCCCCCAGCCGCAGGGCUGGUAGUCGGGCUUGACGAAGCUCUCGACGCCGUCCUCCACCACGCAGCUCACGCUGCGCGUCACCACGUAGGCGCACCAGUUCCUGCGGAGAAGGCGUCAGGGCCCCGCACCGGAGCCCCCGGCACACCCCGGGUGUCCCCCCACGUGGACCAGGCACCACCGCGGGACCCCCCCCGCAGGUGCCUGCCCUGCCGGUCCCACCAGUAGCAGCCGUCACGGCCCAGUGCUGUGGGGUUAAUGGGCCGGAUCCUGCCCCACUGCAGCCCCUUCACCUCUGCCCAACCCCACAGCCCCGAGCGCUUUGAGGGGCCCUUUCAGGAGCCGCGGAAGGGGCCGGUGGCACCGCGGGGAGUGACCGCAGCCCUCACGGGGCCACCCGCACCCAGCGAGCCCUGUGGGGACAGGGAUGGGGACGGGGACAGGGACCCUGCUCGUGGGUGCAAGGGGCGGCCAGGGGAGCGCAUGCGUCCUGCGAGGCACUGCAGGCUGCGGGGAUGGGGGGGCUCUGACCCCAUGCUGCUGCCCUGCGGAGCCUGGCUGUGCCCCCCAGCCACCCCCAGGCUGUCACUGAUGUGCCCCCAAGCCUGGAGUUCAGGAGCUGGGGACGAAGCCCUGGCGCCCGGCCAGACCUGAUGGCGAGAUCCUGCCUGGGGGGCACGCUUCUCCCAGGGUGUGGGGCGGGGCCCCCAGCCGGCCCCAUGGGGGCUGCAGCCCCCAGAACACGCUGCGGGGCCCCUCGGCUCCAUACAGGGUGUGGUGGCCAGGCUGUGGGGCGGGACCCCAGCCCCCCAGCCCACCCCAGGGAGCGGGACCCCGGCCCGGCCCCACGCAGCGCGGACGCCCCAGCCCAGCCUUAUAUGGUCCGAGCCCAGAGCAGCCCCACACAGCGCGGCCCCCCCCGGGCAGCCCCCCACGGCGCGGACCCUCGGCAGCCCCAGCCCCGUGCGCAGAGCUGCUGUGCUGUGUGGAGCUGUGUGGAGCUGUGCGGUGCCGUGCGGUGCCGUGGAGCUGAGCAGUGCGGGGGCCCCGCAGAGCCGCGGCCGGUUCCCGUCAGCCCGGCUGGUUCCCCUCAGUCCCCGGCUCGAUUCCAGCUCCUCCCCGGGGGCCGCCGGGAAUUCCUGCGCUGACGGCCCCCCCUCUUCCCCCUUCCCUUCCCUUCUCUUCCCUUCCCGGCCCCCCCCGCUCUCCCCCCGUGCCCAAUCAUCCCUGGCUGAUGGUGCCCGCGGGGCCCUGGCUCCCACUGCCCAUCCUGGGGCUGCAUCGGGGCGCAUCCACGUCCUGGGGACAGGCUGGGAGCCCUCCCGAAACCACGGGGCAUGGGGAUGGGUCCCCGUGUCCCCCCGUCCAUGGGGACUGCCUGCCGUGACCCUCGAAGCAGAGGCAGCAGCCCCGAAGCACAGAGAUGGGUUCUACAUCCCCCAAGCCACGGGCACAGGGCGCUGUGCCCCAGCCCCUGGGGACACCCUGCUACGUCCCCAAAACCACGGGCAGGAGCCCAGCCAAGCCCGGGCUGUGCCACGGCGCUCUGUGAGCCGGGGAUGCCCAGCCCACGUGCGCCCUUCCCGGGCAGCCCCACGCCGGCAGCCGGGUCCCGCGUGGAGCAGGGUCCCACCAGCCCCUGCCCCAGAGCCCUGGGGCUGCCGGGGGGCUGCGGUGGGGCUGGGGGGGACACGUCCCGUGCUGCACCCCGCACGGCCACGCUGUGGCUGCGGCCAGAGGGUGACCCCCAGCUCCGGUGCGGGGCCGGCCCCGCAGCCCCAGCCCCGACCCGGGGGCAGGCACGAGCCGAGCCCCCGCCGCCCCCUCCGCAGGGCACGGCACCGGCAGG